rnacentral:rRNA from 1 species
UUUAUGGAGAGUUUGAUCCUGGCUCAGAGUGAACGCUGGCGGCGUGCCUAAUACAUGCAAGUCGAACGAUGAAGCUUUUAGCUUGCUAGAAGUGGAUUAGUGGCGCACGGGUGAGUAACGCAUAGAUAACAUGCCCUUUAGUCUGGGAUAGCCAUUGGAAACGAUGAUUAAUACUAGAUACACCCCAUGGGGGAAAGUGGCUCUUAAAUAAGUCUAUAUUUGUUGUUGUGUAUAUUCUUUGGAUAAAGUUAAGGAGUUUUUUAUGGCUGUAAAUAAAGAUAGUAUAGGUAAUUUUAUAUCGUGCGUGGCGGAUAAAUUAACAAAUUCUGGGGAAGGUGAUAAAGUUUCUAAAUUUACAGAUUCUAUACAAAAAUCUUUUGCAAGUAAAAAGGAUUUGGGUAUUUCUGACGUAAAAGAUGCUGCAAGUAGUGCUGGUAUUUCUAUUGCACUUAUCGCUGUUGUUUUAGAUUGUGCUUACAAGCACUUUAUAAAGUAGUUUUAAGAUUUAAGAAUAUACACACAAUAAAUCAAAUUUAGAUUUAUUUAAGAGCUUACGCUAAAGGAUUGGUCUAUGUCCUAUCAGCUUGUUGGUAAGGUAAUGGCUUACCAAGGCUAUGACGGGUAUCCGGCCUGAGAGGGUGAACGGACACACUGGAACUGAGACACGGUCCAGACUCCUACGGGAGGCAGCA